ACGCAUGGGAGAGGGGAACCCUUUACUACCAUGGCAUACAAGAUGAGGCUUCUUUAAAAAAUAAGUCGACAAGGUUAAUCAUCAACACAUUAUGCUACUUCCAGAAAUUCUGAUUAAGUGGUCGGAUAGUUUGUUAGGUAUUUCUGAAAGUACUGAAAAAUGGAUUUGUCUCGGCAUAUGAGAUUGGUCAAUCUAGUGGAUCAACGAGAAGAGCAAAAUUUUUAGAUGGAAAGCUGAGCGAUUGCACGAGGUAUGAAAGACUGGGAAUACUGAGAUUCUAACACCUGUCCAGCACUAUAACAAAUCUGCUCAAAUCUGUUAAAAGGUGAAGAGAUUGAGGCUCUGAGAGACUAAAUAAAGAUACUAAUCCAACAGCUCAUAAAGUGCAGAGCUGAAGUUCUGACUGAUUUCCACAUAUUUCUACUAUGACAUCAACUGGAGAUGGAAGAGAUCACUUCUCUGUAACCAUGGAGGUGCCGAUGCUUGAUGGUGCCCACGUUACUGACUCCUGAUUGCUAGAUCAGAGACAAGGUACUUGGACUGGUUCUGGCAGAUCCGGCAUCUCCUGACGUCCUUAAAAAGGAACGAGGAUAUUUGCUGCUCUAACUAACAGAUUCCCAAGCUUUACUAGCAGUUCUCAGAAAUCUUUCGGCAGCAGUAAGAAUGACUUUGAACUAGUCAUUUCAGACCACACCAUUGGCACCAAGAAGUGCAAGUUUGCCAUACACUCCUUCAUUAAAUACUUUUCACUGUGC
ensembl:lncRNA